AGAAAAAUAAUAUUAUUCACCUAAAAUAAAGAAUUACGAAACAUAUACAAUAUAAUUCUAAUUAAUGAUAAUAUAAAAUCUGUUACUUUUCAAAAUAUACACUAUUUACUCUAUUUUUUGAAUGAAAGUAUCUUCGUAAACACACAAAAUAUUUUGUGAUGUUGCAAUUAUACAUACACACAAUAUCUGCCUCUUCAUACUGACGUUACUGUGUUCUCUUUCGUGAGGUACGGACCGAGAGAGAACACAGGGUGCGGACCGAUCAUUUUCUUAUGCCCGCACAGGGUGCGGACUGGUCACCUAGUAUUAUAUUAAAGGGACAUAAGGGGAUUUUUUAGGAGGGCAUGGGGCAUAUCGAGUUAAAGUCCGUUCACGUUCGACAAGGAAAACAAGAAGCCCAUCCUCGUGAAAGCUCCAAAGUCCAAACCCACGACGGAACAACGAUUCGGAUUCGGUGACGAUUCCGACGUCUUUCAUGACGGGGUCGAUCGUGGGGAAGAGAUUCUACAAGAAGGUGAUGACGAGAGAAGCGGACGAUGGGAGUGGAUGGACUGUGAUGCUCGAUUACAAAACACUUAAAACGCCUUCGAAGAGACCUCUCAAGCUUCCUUCUUUGAUAGGUCUGGGCAAUUACAGAUGCUAAGAGACAAGGGUAUCUUGGUUUCAAAGAGUUUAUCGUUGCUAUGCGGUUGAGAGAUUCAUGUUUGCAUUACAGUGAUGAAGAAUUACACAAUCAGAGAUGAUACUCUUUCUACUUUCUCUCUAGCCAGGAGGUACAAGAGCAUGGGUUUGGCAGUCUGGUUUUCUUAGGUUGUUCUUGGUAUAACAUUAGUCCCCUGCACUCUGCUUUCUAGGGAGGUACUUCAGUGUGGUGCAUCGGUUUCCAGACUUCUCAAGCACUUUACGCUCAUGCAUCUUCCUGUGUUCACUCAAAGUUCUGCAAUUUCCUCUUGUUUUAAGACUGUUUACACAUUAAUCAUUGGGUUCAUGAGUUGUUCUUUCUACUUUUUGCAGUCAGGAUUUCUGAUGUAAGCUAUGAAGAGCGGGAUGAUCCUGAUGGUCGAUUGGAACGCAGAGGCUUAUCAGGUGACUCAUAGUGAGAUUCACUUUACAAUCUGUUUGCAGGUUUCUUCCUGUUCCAUUCGUUGAUACCAUCUGAUCAAACUUCUUAUCAUGACUCUUUGUUCAUUCACACCUUUGAUCAAACUUCAUGUCAUGUAUGUUUUUCUUUCAUUUUAUAAAUAAAAUCAUUCAACUUUCUAAAAAAAUAAAUUUUAUUUUAAGAACUUCAAUGGGUUCUCCCAUUGGAGGAGAAUAAUUUAAUUAGAUUAACAAGGGGUUUUAAGUUUUCAAAUCACAAAAUUAACUACUAAAUAAUUCAUUAGAACCCUUACUAGUCUCUUACUGAUGGAGAUGCUCUUAGAGCUGGGAUUUUAAGAAAAUAUAUAAUAAACUGUUUUUUAAUUUUUAAUUAAAAAGUUAAAUACAGUACUAAAAAUUAAGAAACAGUUUUUUAUAUUUUCUUAAAAACUCCGCGAAACAGUUUUUUAUAUUUUCUUAAAAACUCCGCCCUCAGAAACUAGAAAUAAUGAUGCUCUAAAGGAUAACGAGCUACUGAUCAAGAAUUUUACUUUCCUUUCGAUUUAUAGUUUGCCUCUGGCAGCUUUUAGCUAAAAACAUGAGAUGAACAAACGGAAAAUUGCAUUAAAAACUUAAAAAUAAUAUUCAUUAACACUUUAAAAUUUGAAGCUACUUAACUAGCAUAUUAAAUUAGAAAAUACCCUAUGAUAGCACUAAAAAUGUUUAUGUCACAAAUAUAGACUUUAAAGACCAAAAUGACCAAAAUGUUUCAUUAAAGAGGUAAAUGUACACUUAUAUCCUUAACGUUAACUAAUCCAAACCUUAGGGUUUAGAGUUAAAUAGUGAAGAUUUGGGAUUGAGAUUUAAAAUUUUAUAAAAUAAAAAAUAAAAAAUAAAUAUUAAAAAUUUGAAAAUAAAAAAUUUUAAAAUAUUUUCAAAAAGUAUUUUCGAACUACAAAAAUAAAAUUUGAAAAAAUAUAAUCUAAAACUAUAUAAAAUUUUAUAAAAAAUUUCGAAUUUGAAAACAUAUAAUCUAAAACUAUAAAAAAUUAUUAUUUUUAAAUUUUUAUUAUUAUUUUUUUAUUUUUAUUUUUUUAUAUAUCUAGGAUAUUAUGGUCCUUUUACCAAUUAAGUGAAACAUUUUAGUCAUUUUUCUCCAUGUGAUCUAUUUUUGUGAUCUAAACUUGAAAAUGAUCUAUUUAGGAGAAUUGCCCUAUUAAAAUUU